GCUUACGGUCACACAACCCUGAGAACGCCCGAUCUCGUCUGAUCUCGGAAACUAAGCAGGGUUUGCCCUGGUUUAGUAGUUGGAUGGAAGAUGUGGGCCCUAAAUU
rnacentral:rRNA from 1 species